rnacentral:rRNA from 1 species
AUUCAACGCUGGCGGCAGGCCUAACACAUGCAAGUCGAGCGGAGCGGCGGACGGGUGAGCAAUGCCUAGGAAUCUGCCUGGUUGUGGGGGAUAACGUCCGGAAACGGGCGCUAAUACCGCAUACUAUCAGAUGAGCCUAGGUCGGAUUAGCUAGUGGGUGGGGUAAAGGCCUCACAAGGCGACGAUCACUAGCUGGUCUGAGAGGAUGAACAUCCACACUGGAACGGCGGCACGGUCAAGACUCCUACGGGAGGCAGCGGUGGGGAAGAUUGCACAAGGGGCGCAAGCGUGAUGCAGCUAUGCCGCGUGUAUGAAGAAGGCCUUCGGGUUGUAAAGUACUUUCAGCGGGGAGGCGUUGCCCGCAGAAGAAGCAGCGGCUAACGCCGUGCCAGCAGCCGCGGUAAUUC